CAAUAGCGUAUAUUAAAGUUGUUGCGGUUAAAAAGCUCGUAGUUGGAUUUCGGCGGACAGGGGGCGGUUCGAUAUUUGUCGCUACUGCCCCAUUUGUCCGUGUUUUUGGCGGAGGUUUCAGGGUGCUCUUCACCGAGUGUCCUGGGCUGCCGUCAGGUUUACUUUGAAAAAAUUAGAGUGCUCAAAGCAGGCUUUACACGCUUGAAUAUUCGUGCAUGGAAUAAUGGAAUAGGACGUCGUUUCUAUUUUGUUGGUUUUCGGAAAUCGACGUAAUGAUUAACAGGGACAGUCGGGGGCAUUAGUAUUCAGACGACAGAGGUGAAAUUCUUGGACCGUCUGAAGACUAACUACUGCGAAAGCAUUUGCCAAGAAUGUUUUCAUUAA
rnacentral:rRNA from 1 species